ACGGGGGAUGCAAGCGUUAUCCGGAUUUAUUGGGUUUAAAGGGUGCGUAGGCGGUUUGAUAAGUCAGCGGUGAAAUAUUUCAGCUUAACUGAAAGGGUGCCGUUGAUACUGUCAGGCUUGAAUAUGGUUGCUGUGGGUGGAAUGUGUGGUGUAGCGGUAAAAUGGUUAGUUAUGACACAGAAUAUCGAAUGCGUAGGAAGCGCACAAAGCGAAUAUCGACGCUGGUGUACGUUGCUGUCUAGAAGGAAGAG
rnacentral:rRNA from 1 species